GCCAGGUGUGGUGGUGCACACCUGUGGUCCCAGCUACUUGGGAGGCUGAGGCAGGGGAAUCACUUGAACCUGGGAACUGGAGAUUGCAGUGAGCCAAGAUCACACCACUGCACUCCAGCCUGGUGACAAAGCGAGACUCUGUCUCAA
rfam:Macaca mulatta chromosome 15, whole genome shotgun sequence.